AGCAUCUUGCAUGUUCGGACUGUUGGUUCGCGCUCAUGCUUAACACUGAGUGAAUGAACUGAGGUGGCAUACUGGGGACACGGCCUGUGCCCAGCCAGGACUGACCUCUUCAGGCCUCCAAUUCUGGCUCAGAGCAGCAGAGACCAAUUUCAUGAAGGCCUUCAUCUGGACAAGGGCUCACGGGACCCAACCCUGCUUUCUUGGCCUGCCCAGACUAUGAAGGGACAGUCCUCCCAGCUGCUUCUGGCCCCUACUCAGGGGCGCACAUCCUCCAUGCCCACCUACCCCCACAUGCCACAAGGGUUCUCCCCAGAGUCCUGCCCUCAACCAUAAUGAAUGGAGGAAUGAACACGGCCGAGGUCCUGGAUUCUUUCUCGGCCACUUCUCUGCCAGUGUGUCAUUUCUGCAAUGGGUGGAGCUUCUGCAGAGAGAAGGUGGUGGGCCAAAGGCAGAGCCCCAGCCCCAUCCCGAUCCCCAGAGGGACCUCAGAAUUGUUGGUUUUUCCACGGGCCGCCUCCGGGACAAUGACUUUUGCUCAGCUGGUACCCUGAAGCAUCCCCUCCAAUCUCCGUGAUGUCUGUUUCAAACUACAAAAUGCUGGACUUGGCUGCCCCCCCCCCUCUAUUUACCAAGAAAGUUCUAGCGGAUGGCAUUCCACACAUCUCUCUACCAAACCUAGACUGUUGCCCUUCGGGGAUGGCCACAGAAGCUGAAAUACACUCCAGAGCUCUGUUUGCUUCAGGGGGUGGGGGCCACAUUCAGAGCCCAUCUUUCCUCCUCCAAGCCAGACCGGGAUUCCAGCAUCGGGAUCCCACUUUCCCCUGCUUCUUCAGUUGUGGAAAGGCUGGAGGGCAUCCUCUGAAAUGCAUCCAGUCUUUGGCAAGAGAAGAAAGGAGGCAAAAACCAGUUUCUGAGCCACAGGCAGACCCCCAUCAUCUUCUCAAUGAAGAACUUGUAAUUGAUGGUGUUGACAUGAGGUCCUACAGGAAAAUGCCCUCUGCCCACUGGGGCUCCCAGCCAUGCCCAGAAGGCUCCAUGAUGUCAGCUGCAAAACAGUCAACAAUCACAUGUACCCACCCCUAAACACUGAGACCCUAAAGUGACUCUUGUAAUCCAAGAGAUGAGUUUUGGCCCCAAUCUAGGCCAAUAUCCUUCGACUUCCCCCUCUUUCCCCUGAACAGACUUCGACGAGGGCUUUCUCUUGAUCAGCUCUCCCCAGAUCCUCACAACCUCCAGGACCCUCCGUUUGAAAGUGGAGCCCAUUGUCCUGGUUCUCUCCCCUCUUGAUUGUUACUUACAGUGGAGACUUGUUCGGACACUUCUGGAAACACAAACAUAAUCAGGUAAUUUUCCACCCAUAAUAUAUAGAGUAAUGGUCUCUCCUAUCUUUUGUGAAAUUCCUCUAAAAUGUUUCAACAAAGAGAAUAAUUUUAGUGAAUGGAUUUUCAUAUUAGAGGUCUUGACGGUGUCGAGAAAUUAUUUGUUCUUUUUACGUUAUUAAUAUUGGUGAGUCUAGCUUAAUGUGGCUACACAAUUUUCUAAUCCAAAAAGCUGCCUGUGGAGGUCAGGCUGACCUCAGAAAAGCUCCUGGGAAGACUAUUGGGUCGAAGGAAUGCUUUGGUAACACAAUGCUGCUUUGGGGUGCUCCCAAAGCUCGUGUUUUGCAUUCCCCAAAUUAGAUUGCCUGACUUGCUUAUGUACAUCUCAAUAUGCCCUUCUCUUGGAGCCUACCUCUUGCCUAUGGGAAGCCAGUUGGGCGAAUGUCCUUUUUUCCUUGUCCUCACUCAAUAAAAUGGAACCUUACACAGAUUCCCGGAGCA
ensembl:lncRNA